AGUGAAAUUCCUGGGUAAUAAUGGUAGUUAACUUUUUGAGGAACUUCCAAACUGUUUUCCAAAGUGGCUGUUGCAUUCUAUAAUCCCACCAGUAAU
rnacentral:pre_miRNA from 13 species